GGGUCAGUAGGUUGGUCGUGCCACCGGUACGUACUGGUCUCACUGAUUCCUCCUUCCUGAAGAACCGUAAUGCCAUUAAUUUGUUGUUGCGGGGAAACAGGACUGUUACUUUGAAAAAAUUAGAGUGUUUAAAGCAAGCUAACGCUUGAAUACAUUAGCAUGGAAUAAUGAAAUAGGACGAUCGAUCCUAUUUUGUUGGUUUCUAGGAUUGACGUA
rnacentral:rRNA from 1 species